CUCCCAACGUCACUGCCAAGCCAGCAAAGGAAUGUCUAAAGUAAAGAGACCGUGCAGAAGAGGACAGAGGGCCAAGGAGAGACUGCAGCCCAGCAGGAAGGACUGAAGGAGGAGGACUCCGGGGCAGAGGCCUUAGAACUGAAAGGAAAAGCUAGGUGACAGGCAUAGCCCGUGCCAGGCUUCCAGCAGUACUUAAAUACAAGUUAACAUCUAAAAUUUGUCAUCAGAUAGAAACUCUUCUACAAAUACAACAGUGUGGUGCCCCUACCAAGCAUUUUUUAGAGUGGAAAUUCCAGUUUUCCAUGUCUAGCCCCUUUGGCUCUUUGUUCUGUUGCACAAAAGGAUGUUUACAUGUCCUUUGGGAGGCCCUGGCUUCAUGCUGGAGGCCAGCAUCUGGGACAGGGUCUUUCAAGUUGUGUAGAUACUUCAUAUUUGCAAUGAUUUAGUGGCUGAAAUAGACCCCUUUGUCCACCAAAACCUUCUCUGCUCACUGUCCUGGUAACUAAAGGGCAUAACUUCGAUUUUAAAAAAAAUUAUUUUUGAACUAAGCAUCAUCUUUAGUAGUUGUUAAAAUAAAACUACUUCUGUGUCUAGCUAACUGGAUCCUUACAUCCUAGUAUAAAUGAGUUGAUUGGUAUUUUUACCUUCGGAAUGUUUGGUGGACUAGCUGGAAGCUAGGUAGUACAGUCAGUAGUUGAGUGGUGGCCUCUUACCCAGGUAACCUGGGUUUCUAGUUCUGCUCUGCAAGUUCACUUCCUUGCACGUAAAUUCGUGCUAACAUUAUCACUGGGCUCAAACAGAGAUCCAUGAACUAUGCAGCAGAGUCCAGAGAGUAAACGGAAGACUCCGGAGGCUUGGUGAAUGGCGGCAAGGCCUCUGUUUCCAGGAGAAACCAUCUCUGCAGGAUUGUCUCUAGACUCCUCUGCAUCUAGCUACAGCUAUGGUCCUGCUUCUGGCCAGGGGACCUGGGCAGAGGGGGUUUGCUUUCAUGCCCCACCCCCCAGACUCUUCCUUCCCCAGGCUCUGUCAUCCUGUGGGGAUUGUGGGGCUGAGGAGGGAGGGUGCCUGGGCACCUGAAUGACAACAGAAUGGAGUACCUGUUUAAACCUGCAAAGGAUUGUGGGACAUAAGCUUCUGUCAAGCAAGCCCCUGCAUGCCAUCUUCACACUGCUUGCUACUGUGUUAAUCUGCCCUAAUGAACUCAUUUCCUCUUACUCGAGGAUCUUUCAGAGAGAAGAAGUGAGACAUGAUCUAGAAAUCUGGAGCGCAAUCCACACUCCAUCUAU
rnacentral:lncRNA from 1 species